CAAUAGCGUAUAUUAAAGCUGUUGCGGCUAAAAAGCUCGUAGUUGGAUUUCUGUCAAGGACAACUGGUCCGCCCUUCGGGUGAGCACAUAGUUUGGUCUUGGCAUCUUGUUGGAAACUGUUGCUGCACUUGGUUGUGUGGCGCAGCGUCCAGCACUUUCACUUUGAGGAAAUUGGAGUGUUUCAAGCAGGCACAUGCCUUUGGACACAGUAGCAUGGAAUAAUUAGAUUGGGCUUUUGCUCCAACUUGUCGGUUUCUGGAGCUGAGGUGAGAAUUAAUGGGGAUUGUUGGGGGCAUCCGAAUUUAGCCGUCAGAGGUGAAAUUCUUGGAUCUGCUAAAGACGGACAACUGCGAAAGCGUUUGCCCAGGAUGUUUUCAUUGA
rnacentral:rRNA from 1 species